ACUGAAUACGAAGCGCCUGGACUAUUCCAUCGGACGGAGAAGUACGGAAUAGUUGACGAGGAAGAGGUUUAUCGAAACAUUCGGCGGAUACCUCUCGGGAUGGCUUGCACCCGUUAGUCCGUGCUCAAAACAGGAAGGCAACUUUUUGUACAGAAGUCGGACGGUAGGCACAUAG
rnacentral:ncRNA from 2 species